rnacentral:lncRNA from 1 species
UUUAGAACAUACCAGAAAACCCCUCUCAUCACUCCAGUGAUAAAAACGACGUCGACGUGGGAAAAGAUCCUCAACGCAAACGGAUUAGACGCGUCGUGAGAUCGUGACACGUGGACGGUGGAUGUUUCACACUCUCUCCCCUCAACCGCUUUAUAAAUUGGGGGUCGUGGCUUCUCCUUGAAACUCGUUCUAGUGUGUGAUUGUUUGUUGUUGUAACUCGUUCUUCUUCUUUUGUUGNNNNN